rnacentral:rRNA from 1 species
AUACGGAGGGUGCAAGCGUUAUUCGGAAUCACUGGGCGUAAAGGACGCGUAGGCGGGUUGGCAAGUCAGAUGUGAAAUCCAACAGCUUAACUGUAGAACUGCAUUUGAAACUGCUAACCUAGAGUAUGGGAGGGGGAGAUGGAAUUAGUGGUGUAGGGGUAAAAUCCGUAGAUAUCACUAGGAAUACCGAAAGCGAAGGCGAUCUCCUGGAACAUAACUGACGCUAAGGCGUGAAAGCGUGGGGAGCAAACAGGAUUAGAAACCCUAGUAGUCC